rnacentral:rRNA from 1 species
ACUGUACAAUGGAUUUCUCGGCUCCCACAUCGAUGAAGAACGCAGCAAAGCGCGAUAGGUAGUGUGAAUUGCAGAAUACCGUGAAUCAUCGAAUUUUUGAACGCAUAUUGCGCCCGGGUUUGAGCCUGGGCAUGUCUGCCUCAGCGUCGAUUUCCUC